GAUGAACGCUGGCGGCGUGCCUAAUACAUGCAAGUCGAGCGAACAGAUAAGGAGCUUGCUCCUUUGACGUUAGCGGCGGACGGGUGAGUAGCACGUGGGUAACCUACCUAUAAGACUGGAAUAACUCCGGGAAACCGGGGCUAAUGCCGGAUAACAUUUAGAACCGCAUGGUUCUAAAGUGAAAGAUGGUUUUGCUAUCACUUAUAGAUGGACCCGCGCCGUAUUAACUAGUUGGUAAGGUAAUGGCUUACCAAGGCAACGAUACGUAGCCGACCUGCGAGGGUGAUCGGCCACACUGGAACUGAGACACGGUCCAGACUCCUACGGGAGGCAGCAGUAGGGAAUCUUCCGCAAUGGGCGAAGCCUGACGGAGCAACGCCGCGUGAGUGAUGAAGGGUUUCGGCUCGUAAAACUCUGUUAUUAGGGAAGAGCAAACGUGUAAGUAACUGUGCACGUCUUGACGGUACCUAAUCAGAAAGCCACGGCUAACUACGUGCCAGCAGCCGCCGUAA
rnacentral:rRNA from 1 species